rnacentral:rRNA from 1 species
AUUGAACGCUGGCGGCAGGCCUAACACAUGCAAGUCGAGCGGAGCGGCGGACGGGUGCGUAAUGCCUAGGAAUCUGCCUGGUAGUUGGGGAUAACGUCCGGAAACGGGCGCUAAUACCGCAUACUAUCAGAUGAGCCUAGGUCGGAUUAGCUAGUGGGUUGGGUAAAGGCCUACCAAGGCGACGAUCCGUAACUGGUCUGAGAGGAUGAUCAGUAACAGUGGAACUGAUACACGGUCCAGACUCCUACGGGAGGAAGCAGGGGGGAAUAUUGGACAAUGGGCGAAAGCCUAAUCGAGCCAUGCCGGGUGUGUGAAGAAGGUCUUCGGAUUGUAAAGCACUUUAAGUUGGGAGGCGUUACCAACAGAAUAAGCACCGGCUAACUUCGUGCCAGCAGCCGCGGUAAUUC